rnacentral:rRNA from 1 species
UACGUAGGGGGCAGGCGUUGUCCGGAAUCAUUGGGCGUAAAGAGCGUGUAGGCGGCUCGGUAAGUCCGCUGUGAAAGUCCAGGGCUCAACCCUGGAAUGCCGGUGGAAACUGUCGAGCUAGAGUCCGGAAGAGGCGAGUGGAAUUCCUGGUGUAGCGGUGAAAUGCGCAGAUAUCAGGAGGAACACCAAUGGCGAAGGCAGCUCGCUGGGACGGUACUGACGCUGAGACGCGAAAGCGUGGGGAGCAAACAGG